rnacentral:lncRNA from 1 species
GGGGUCAAAGGCGGCGGUGCCAGAUCGGGAUUGCGCAGCAACGGGAAAGACCUCCCAGCAAAGGAGCUGAGGUGGAAGAGAGAGAAGAGGAAGAUAGGAGCAAAGUCCUUGAGAAGGUGUCUGUGGUCUCCUACUGAAAGAGUGGCCCCUGGACGCGCAGCAUCAGUGUCACCGGUUACAAAGAUUCUCUCCCGGACCAAAGUCUACUCAGACUCCCCAGAGCUCCUUCUCAGCCAAGCCUUGACUUUCGGACUUGCACGUCCACUUCUGCGUCGUCCAGUCUUAGCAAGAAUCCUGCCAAGUCAGUUGAACCAGAAUCUUGCGUCCUCCGUAUCUGAUCGCCCUCCCUAUCUAACCAAAUUCCUCUCGUUCCCCGGUCCCCCAGCGAGGUCUGAGCACCCGGCUGCCUUCAGCAAGAAUCCUGUCAGGGUGGUUCGGCCAGAGCCCCUUCCCCGAGGUUUCCUCUUAGUCAUUUUCCCUCCGCUGACCCCCACCCUGCUCCUUGGCUAGAAAUCCCCACUUUUUCUUGUUGUGUUUGGCCUUGAGCCCAAUCUCUCUCCCCGGCUGCAAAUCCCACUGCAGAGGUCCCUGCACCUGGCGCGACAGUCCCCCCUUGAAUAAAGUCUGGCUCACCUCUCAACAAAUGUCCUCGAAUAGUUUUUUCUUUAAUAUCAGGAGCUGGGUAGAAAUAGCUAGAUCUCAAGUGCCACCCCAGGCUUGCCAAACCAGAGCGCUCACACUAGCAAGGUCCCCAGGUGAGUCACAUGCGUGUCAAAGUUUGAGAAGCUCUGAUUUAAGGGGCCUGGCACAGCUCCUUGAAGCGAACGCACCCAGCUGUGAAAACCUAAGGCCACAAGGUAAGUGAAAGGGACGGACAGGGUGGUAGGCAGGCGGAGAGGGCAGAGGAAGGAGUCCGGGGCCCCAGCCUGGGUCCUGGUCCUUUUUGCAGAGGAAACCAAUGCGGUCCUAGGACCACCAAAUUCACCAAGGGCUUUCCAUGCGCCUGGUGUCACUUAAGUCUGGCUUCACCCGACACAAGUGAGGCUUUUCUCAGCUCCCCGGAUGAAGAAGCUUCAGCUCGGAGCAUGGGGAGCUUCCUCAAG